CCUACGGGUGGCAGCAGUGAGGAAUAUUGGUCAAUGGCCGUAAGGCUGAACCAGCCAAGUCGCGUGAAUGAAGAAGGAUCUCUGGUUUUUAAACUUCUUUUAUAGAGGAAUAAAGGUAUCCACGUGUGUAUUUUUGCAUGUACCCUAUGAAUAAGCAUCGGCUAACUUCGUGCCAGCAGCCGCGGUAAUACGGAGGAUGCGAGCGUUAUCCGGAUUUAUUGGGUUUAAAGGGUGCGUAGGUUGUUUUUUAAGUCAGCGGUGAAAGUUUGUGGCUCAACCAUAACAUUGCCGUUGAAACUGGCAGACUUGAGUGUGUUAGAGGUAGGCGGAAUGCGUGGUGUAGCGGUGAAAUGCAUAGAUAUCACGCAGAACUCCGAUUGCGAAAGCAGCUUACUAAGCCAUAACUGACACUGAAGCACGAAAGCGUGGGGAUCAAACAGGAUUAGAUACCCCAGUAGUC
rnacentral:rRNA from 1 species